UUGAAUAACGAUUGGUACUGAUGCUGGCUCUUCACUGGGCAUGUGCUCGUCCAUCUUAUUUAUCUUCUCUUGUGCACAUUUUGUAGUCUUGAAGACCUCUGCGCAAAUUCAUUUUGCUGCAGGUUGGGAGAUGCUAACCCUUCUCUCGUUGCCUUCGUUGGCAAGCCUUGGGGAAUGUUAACCCUUUCCUCGCGUCUUCAAGACUAUGUUUUCAUAUACACUAUAAAGUUACAGAAUGUCUUUUAACGACUGCUUGCAGUCAUUAAACCUAUA
rnacentral:misc_RNA from 1 species